AGAGUUUGAUCAUGGCUCAGAUUGAACGCUGGCGGCAGGCCUAACACAUGCAAGUCGAGCGGUAGCACAGAGAGCUUGCUCUCGGGUGACGAGCGGCGGACGGGUGAGUAAUGUCUGGGAAACUGCCUGAUGGAGGGGGAUAACUACUGGAAACGGUAGCUAAUACCGCAUAAUGUCGCAAGACCAAAGUGGGGGACCUUCGGGCCUCAUGCCAUCAGAUGUGCCCAGAUGGGAUUAGCUAGUAGGUGGGGUAACGGCUCACCUAGGCGACGAUCCCUAGCUGGUCUGAGAGGAUGACCAGCCACACUGGAACUGAGACACGGUCCAGACUCCUACGGGAGGCAGCAGUGGGGAAUAUUGCACAAUGGGCGCAAGCCUGAUGCAGCCAUGCCGCGUGUGUGAAGAAGGCCUUCGGGUUGUAAAGCACUUUCAGCGGGGAGGAAGGCGUUAAGGUUAAUAACCUUGUCGAUUGACGUUACCCGCAGAAGAAGCACCGGCUAACUCCGUGCCAGCAGCCGCGGUAAUACGGAGGGUGCAAGCGUUAAUCGGAAUUACUGGGCGUAAAGCGCACGCAGGCGGUCUGUCAAGUCGGAUGUGAAAUCCCCGGGCUCAACCUGGGAACUGCAUUCGAAACUGGCAGGCUAGAGUCUUGUAGAGGGGGGUAGAAUUCCAGGUGUAGCGGUGAAAUGCGUAGAGAUCUGGAGGAAUACCGGUGGCGAAGGCGGCCCCCUGGACAAAGACUGACGCUCAGGUGCGAAAGCGUGGGGAGCAAACAGGAUUAGAUACCCUGGUAGUCCACGCCGUAAACGAUGUCGAUUUGGAGGUUGUGCCCUUGAGGCGUGGCUUCCGGAGCUAACGCGUUAAAUCGACCGCCUGGGGAGUACGGCCGCAAGGUUAAAACUCAAAUGAAUUGACGGGGGCCCGCACAAGCGGUGGAGCAUGUGGUUUAAUUCGAUGCAACGCGAAGAACCUUACCUGGUCUUGACAUCCACAGAACUUUCCAGAGAUGGAUUGGUGCCUUCGGGAACUGUGAGACAGGUGCUGCAUGGCUGUCGUCAGCUCGUGUUGUGAAAUGUUGGGUUAAGUCCCGCAACGAGCGCAACCCUUAUCCUUUGUUGCCAGCGGUUCGGCCGGGAACUCAAAGGAGACUGCCAGUGAUAAACUGGAGGAAGGUGGGGAUGACGUCAAGUCAUCAUGGCCCUUACGACCAGGGCUACACACGUGCUACAAUGGCAUAUACAAAGAGAAGCGACCUCGCGAGAGCAAGCGGACCUCAUAAAGUAUGUCGUAGUCCGGAUUGGAGUCUGCAACUCGACUCCAUGAAGUCGGAAUCGCUAGUAAUCGUAGAUCAGAAUGCUACGGUGAAUACGUUCCCGGGCCUUGUACACACCGCCCGUCACACCAUGGGAGUGGGUUGCAAAAGAAGUAGGUAGCUUAACCUUCGGGAGGGCGCUUACCACUUUGUGAUUCAUGACUGGGGUGAAGUCGUAACAAGGUAACCGUAGGGGAACCUGCGGUUGGAUCACCU
rnacentral:rRNA from 1 species